CAAACGACUCUCGGCAACGGAUAUCUCGGCUCACGCAUCGAUGAAGAACGUAGCAAAAUGCGAUACUUGGUGUGAAUUGCAGAAUCCCGUGAACCAUCGAGUUUUUGAACGCAAGUUGCGCCCGGAGCCAUUUGGUUGAGGGCACGUCUGCCUGGGCGUCACGA
rnacentral:rRNA from 4 species